CAAAAGACAAAACAUACAAACGUUAUCUUUUUGUUUCUUUAUCUUUCGCUUUCUUUUUCAUUACCCUCUUGUUUUCUUUCUCUCUCUCUUUAAACUCUUCUCUCGAGGAGGAGGGGAGUUGGAGGGGAGGGGAGAAGGAACAGAAGAGAGAGAUUUUUCUUUUU
rnacentral:ribozyme from 13 species